GGAGUUGUGGCUCAGUGGUGUAGAGCACUUGCCUUGCAUGUGUGGAAGACUGGGUUCGACCCUCAGCACCA
rnacentral:tRNA from 1 species